UAAUCUUUUACAAUUAAUACGAACAAUAACAUAUCAUUAUUUAGCGUUAACCUUUAUCGUACAGCGUUUGGAUCUAUUAUGACGGAGACGUAAAGACUCGCUUUGAUUUUGAUACUCGACACCUUAAACGUUGUUUGUUUAUAAUAUAACAAUAACGAGCCGAGCGUGUUAUCGAAACUUACUCUUUCCGACAGUAUUCGAUGUGACUUCGAAGAGAGGAAGAUCUAUAAAGAAAGAUCGUCAUCGUCUGAUUUCUCGAAUCGUUUUAAAUAACUAUCUUUACUCUGAUGCCGCGAAGAAGAAGGAGAAUAGAAGGAGAAGGAAGAGGAUGAGGAGGAAGAGAAGAUCGAGCAGUACUUUCUUUGGCUUCUGUCAUGGGACUGCUCGGUAUCUCACCUUGUUCAGCGCAAAGACUCAGGCCACUUGGAACAUCUCGAAAAGCAUCCUCUCUCUCGAAAUCGAUAGAACAAUUCCCCGCUGACUUCAUCGAUGCCACUUCGACGCAAAGCUCCUUUCUUUCUUUAAUAUCUCGAAUAUUCUCAUCUGGUACACUGUCAAUAGCUGGUUCGCUUGCGGAACGCAUCUCAGCACAGAUCUCUGUUAGAUCACGUAACGUUUGAUAACACGGUGGCUCAAGAUCACCGAGCGAGGCCGGCCCCUCUUCUGCACAAACGCUCCUCGGUGCUUCAGGAACUAGACUCUCCUCCGCGGAAUCGAACUCUUGACUAGAGCUGACGUCCUCUUCGUCAGCAGACACGGUUAUCACGGUGCCAAGAGGGUUGACGACUUUAGUUACUGGCUGACCCACCCUCUCAAAUACCGAGCGCCUCCCUGAUAACAGAAAAGCCGUUGGCAGGUAUCAAAAUCGAGUUACGUAUUGUUCAACUUUGCUUUGAUGCACUUUGUUCGCCAGUUUUUAGCGAAAUGAAACUAAUAUUGCAAAACUGUGGUCCCGGUCCAGCCGAGUCGCAUAUCGCUACUAAUGGCCGUUUCGGUUCAUAUGGAUCAGCAUGUUCAGAGUCAGUCUUCGGAUUUGGUAAAAUUCUUAAGCAACACUAUCAAUAAUUGAACGAUCAACUAUUGGCUGAGGUGAUACAACUUGAGCUCCUUUAUGCACACUACGUCUUGGUGAAUCAGCAGACAUUUUUCUUUCAUGAGCAAUUAUUUUCUCUAUAAAGAAAUAUACAAAAAAAAAAAAAAUUAAUUCAUCAUUCUUUAUAAUUAUUCAGUUAUUCGUUAA